rnacentral:lncRNA from 1 species
CUGGUCCUCACAGCCCCCCAACACAUACACAUUCAGUCAGCCAGCAAGCCCUGUGGAUAGACCUCCCAGCAUGUCCAUGGCUGCUUAUUUCCUUCAAUUCCCACAGUCCUAUUUCAGAGCCCUGUCUCUCACCUAGGCUGGGACAAAAUCCUUCCAACUGUCUUCUGCCUCUUGUUUUCCAUCUAUGUUUUAGCCUUUAAAACGCUAGAGUGCUGCCUUUUCUAACACUGGUGAAAACCCUGCAGAGAUUCCCCCCUGGUAUGUAGAACAUAGUCACAAAUUAUCUGUGUGUCAUUAGGGUCUUUCAUAUAAUUUGACCCCCUAGUACAUUACCCAAUUCUCAAAUACGUCAUGCACUUUGUUCAGGCCCUUUGCGAAGCCUAGAAUGCCCUUUUUCCAUUCUGCACUCAGCAGUUCUGUGCCCCCUCCUCCGUGAAGCCUUAGCCAACACUUUGACUUCCACCUAUGCCUCCCUUGCACAUGGUAGACACCUAGUGACUGUCUGGCAGAUGAAUGGAGGGAUAAGGCAUCUGUAGGGAUGUGUUUCCUUCAAAGCUGUUACCCACUGUACUUUCUGGACUGUUUUAUACUCUAGGUUAGAUGUUUGUAUUUGAAAUUUUAAAGAACCCUUCAACUGGGGUUACAUGUUUAUAUUUAAACUUUUUAAGAAGUCUUCAGCCUGGGGGAAAAAAAAAUAGUUUCUCAAGACAUUUCUGUUCUGAUAGAUUCCAUUGAUUUAUAGCUAGACAUUUCUUAAUUUCCAUUAAAGUAUCUUUUGAGUGCUUUUCCCUCUGAUUCUUUGUGCUUAGUGUGAGUAUUAUCAGAAUAUUCCCUGAGAAAAGACCACAGAUUCUAGCUUUAGGGGAUAAUUGGUCCAGAUAAGAUUCUGUACCCAGAUGCAGACCUUACUAUCUAGAGCUCUUACUGUUAAAACAGAACCUUUCAAACAUUAUCUUAAGCUAAAGGAUUUGUUUAAGCCUUCUGACCAGUAGUAACAAUUUACCUAAAACUGUGAGAUUCUAGUCUUUGACCCCAAGUGAGUUAUCAUGGCUCAGUGGUAACGAACCCAACUAGUAUCCAUGAGGAUGCGGUUCGAUCCCUGGCCUUGCUCAGUGGGUUAAUGAUCGGGUGUUGCUGUGAGCUAUAUGUAGGCUGCAGAAGCAGCUUGGAUCCCACGUUGCUGUGGCCGUCGUGUAGGCCAGCAGCUACUGCUCCUGUUUGACCCCUAGCCUGGGAACUUCCAUAUACCACAGGUGUGGCCCAAAACAAUAAAAACAAAAAAGAUGAGUAGGCAAAGGUAAUAGCUUUUGUUUUAAAUAUGAUGUUGAAGAUGACUGGCAUUGAUUAUGUUACAUAGCAUUACUGUUAUUUCUAAUAUUGACCACUGUAUUUUAGAAUUAUUUUUAAUACCAAAAUUAAAUGAAUCUCUCAUUUCAUCUUUAAUGUUGCAUAUUUUUAAAUGUGAUUAUUAUAUUGUUCAUUGUAAGUGAUGUGCUUCACAUCCUCUAUAUCAGAAAAUUUAUAAUAAACUGAAGCAGACUAUGUAUAUUUUAUAGGGAGCCCAUUGUUAAACAUUUACCAGCACACCACUUGCUCUUCCUGUGCUCUAUUAGCUAGAACUCAAUCACAUGGUGAUUUCAGCUAGAUAUAAGGGUUACAGAGUAAUUAGUGUAGCUUUAUAUCCACAAAGGAGAGAACUGAUAUUCCUGCGCAUAGCAGUCUCUCCCACCAUCUAUCCUUCUAGUCAUAAUGUAUCAGUUUCUUUCUUCUCCCGGCAUGUAGAACACAUUCACCUUUCUGCAAGGGCAAACAACCCAAAGUCCCAUCCAGUAAAUAAAUACAGCCUGGCUCAAGGUCCAGGAGCUCUGGAUGAUGCACAGAUUUCUCCAUCAACUCCUUUUUUUCUUUUUUGGCCAUGCCUGUAGCACGUAAAAUUUCCCCGGGCCAGGGAUCAGACCUGUGCCACAGCAGUGACAGUCCUGGAUGCUUAACCUGCUGACCCACCAAGGAACUCU